rnacentral:rRNA from 1 species
AACGAACGCUGGCGGCAGGCCUAACACAUGCAAGUCGAGCGCGUCCUCCGGGGUGAGCGGCGGACGGGCUGGUCACGCGUGGGCACGUGCCCUUUUCCACGGUAUACCUUCGGGAAACGGAGAGUUACUCCGGAUACGCUCUGUGCGGGAAAGCUUUAUCGUACAAGGAUCGGCCCGCGUUGGUUUAGGUAGUUGGUGGGGUAAUGGCCUACCAAUCCGACGAUCCAUAGCUGCUUUGAGAGGAUGAACAGCCACACUGGGACUGAGACACUGCCCAGACUCCUACGGGAGGCAGCAGUGGUGAAUCUUAGACAAUGGGGGCAACCCUGAUCCAGCCAUGCCGCGUGAGUGAUGAAGGCCUUAGGGUUGUAAAGCUCUUUCAGCUGGGAAGAUAAUGACGGUACCAGCAGAAGAAGCCCCGGCUAACUCCGUG